UACAUAGAAAAAUAUGAGGCUUGAAAGGCUACAGGCUCCAGCAAAGCUGCUCAAACUAAAUGAAAAAGGGCACAUUUCAAAACAUCCAGGUAUUGACUUUUGAAUCCUCCUCCUCGUAAAAGUUGCAGAACAAAUGCAAAGUUCUGUUUUCUUAGAAAAAGGGUAUUUUUUUCUAAACAGGCAGAGGGCCCGGCUUUAGCUGCUUGCUUUCUGAAAUCCCCAACAACGUAUGAAAUGUAGGUGGCAUACAUUAUCCUUUUUGCUAAAAUGAAAAUAAAAACUUCCGUGAUUGGUGGCUGAAGCUAAUGGGAAUUGAUAAAUUACUUUCCAUCCCAGUGGACAUGAAAUCUCCGAAGUUUUGGAUUUCAAUUGAAUGAGAAAUUACUUCUGCAACCAGUCAGCAGGAUCGAAUAUAACUGUGUUUUUUUAAUCUUAUCAGAGUGUGACAAAAAUCAGAAAAUUCAUAGCUGUGUGACUGCAGUAUGUGAAUGCACAAGUUGCAGAUACACUGUUUAGAGAAUUGUAAUUUAUGAGUGCCACCUCCGCAUUCGCAACGCUUGCUUAAAAUUUAGGGAUUCCUGGGAUGCUGGGAGACAGCUCCUCCACUCCCAUUAUGGCACAGCCUCAGGGGCCUGCAGGGACCAUGCAGCAAGGGUGGCUCUUUCCGCCACGCAGGACCUGCUUUCACACACUCCAAGCACUCAGAAGCAACAGCUGGUUAAAAUGCUGUUCUGAGGAGGAAGCCACUGGGUCCUCUCUACUUCUUCUGUAUCUUUCUUUGGCAGCUUCAGCAAUAAACAUGUCCAGGUAGUCUUUUAGAGUAAUGUGUUGCUGAUUUACUCAUUCUGCCCUGGGAGAAGGGGUGUGGAUCACCAGGUAUACCACUGUGCUCUCAUGAGCCCCAGCUUUAGCAGACAAAAGCAAGGUAUCAUUAGAAAAGGGAGAAUUUCAGAGCUUCACCAGGAAGAGGUAGAAGAUAAACUACCCUCAGGAGGCACAUGCCUUCCAAACAGCCAGGACUGGCUACAUGCAGGUGCUGUAGUGUGUGCUGUAGUGUGUACAUGCAGGAGUGUGUUGUUACACUCCAUCUCCCCCAGAUAUAAAUAGCAAUGUCAGCCAGGCGUGCCUUCAGCCAGCCAAUAGCUUGCACGCAUUCCUCCCAAGCCACAACAAUCUGUGCUUUUGUCAGCUCCAGCCUGCAUUGUACAACAUGUUGCCCGGAGAAGAUACCAGUGCCAGUGGUCCAAGUCACCCACAGCAAAUCCAGGCCAAUGUGCUCAAACACAGGCCUCAGACAUGCUGUGCAGUUCGCCCUCUCCACCUGCCUCUGUCUUUCUACUGUCCCUCAGCUGCAAGAUGGCAGUGUCUCCAGGCCCGCCUGGCCACGGAGCUCAGCACAGCCCUGUGCCCCACAGGCCCUGAGGAAGCCCAUCAGCAUGGCUUGGCAGGGUUUCUCCUGAAGCAGGGCUCACACUGGGGAUGAUCUAAUUUAGGAAUGUGGCAGAGAGUUCAGAUGCUUAUCCAGAGUUUAAAGAGUAGACAAACCUUUUAUCCUACAAGAUCUGGCUAGGUCCUCUGGUCCUUAUUCAGGCAAAACUAUAGCUGGCUUUAACGGGAACUUUGGCUGGGGAAAAAAAAAAAGAAGAAGAAGAAGAAAAAAAAAAGAAAAACACCUGCAAGAUUUAACUUUUCCCUGGAAUUUUCAUGAGAUUUCUGGUUGGUUUUGCUCAAACUACAAAAGCAAUUUAAAUGCUCAUUCACCAUUCAGCCUGCAGUCACAGCCUGGAUCCUCAACCACCGUAAUAAGUGUCAGUGAAAAAUAACUGAGGAAAACUGAAGUGAGAGAGAAAAUAGAGAAAGAUCUUGUGCACUGGACAAACGUUACAAGAAAUGAUUUCAUUCCAGAAUUUGCAGGGCAGAAGUAAAGCGUGCUGUCUUAUUAUGCAGUAAGAUAUGCAUAUUUUAAAUAUGGAUGUUAUAUAAACAUGACAGUCACAUGCAUCACCACAUUCACAGAAAGUUCUCUCUUGGGCUGUGCCCAAUACACACAUUUGGUCUGAAAUAUGUAUGACCACCAACAGCUGCUGGUGCUGUACAUCUACAUAAGCAAGACAAAGAGAGAGUGCUGCUGCAGUGCACAAGUAGUUAUUUGUGGAGGCUCUGUAUGAAAAAGCUGGUCAUUUCCUCUCCUUCAGUAACAAGCUCGAUAGCCAUCUAAUCGUGUAUGGUAGGAGUGUAACUGCCUACUUCCCACUAUAGCCACAAGAUAGCAUUUUAUUUCUGGUUCAUCUAGCUGUUUGGUCUGUUGUGUCCCUGAGGAUAAUUAGUCCUGAACACAGGGAAAGUACUUAUCUUGCACCAGGGAUAUUCUGUCAAAUACCUCCUCACACAAAAACUCAUUUAAAAGGAUAAAAAACACUACCUCAGGAAUUGAAUACAUCUGCGGGCUUCUAGUCACUUCCAGCAGGUGACAUAUCUGAAAUCACAGAGCCUCACUUUGGUGACUAGGUAGGAGCCAAUUAGCUUCAUUUUGAACUGGGAAAACUGCAUCAUGACAGCCUCCAAGGAGCAAGUCCUAUCUGUUGUAAACAAAUCUGAUUUGCUCUGUUUUGCUUCCCCACAAAUACUGCACAUCGGUUACAGAUAAAGUUGCUUUACAGGGUAAGCCCCCACCAUCACUGAAAACAGGCAUUGUUUUUCUUCUCCCCAGGAGAGGAAGAAUAAAUGUGACAGUUCGCAGUCACCACUGGUAGUGGCUGGAAACUAAACUCUCUCACCAGAAGUUCUCCCCAAGGCUUCUUUAAAUAUUCCAUGACUAGCUAUGUCCAAAUGCAUUUCCCAGAGGAUCAAAGUACAUUUUUCUUUCACUUGACAGAAGGCACUGAGUUGUUGCUAUCAGUUUGCUCUUACAAUCCUUUUGCAUCACCCGCUCACAGAAAUAAACAUUCUUUGAGGUUUUUCCUGAUGCAGUAACUGACCAUGCCACCACGGCUUUAUUUUGGCCAUAGACGCCUGUGGCAUUUCUGCAAGAGGACAAGCAUCUCGUUCAGACCCCAUUAAAAGAGAGCUCAGUUCUUACAGCAGUUUGACAAGUCUGAUAAAGAGAAAGAAAACCAAAUUACUAGGACUUGAAAUAUAAAGUAGAUGAACCAAUCUAGAGAUGCUGCAUGAAAGAAGGUGGAUUUUUUUCUGGACAAGGAAUGACUUGAGAGCAGCCCUGAGGAGAAGGAUUUGGGGGUGCUGGUUAAUGAAAGACUGAACAUGAGCUGGCUAUAUGCACUUGCAGCCCAGAAGGCCAACUGUGUGCUGGGUUACAUUAUGAAAAGAAUGAAAGAAAAGCAAGGAAGAUGAUUCUGCCCCUCUACUCUGCUCUUGUGAGACCCACCUGGAGUACUGCAUCCAAUUCUGGGGCCCUCAACACAAGACAGACAUGGAGCUGUUGGAGUGGGUCCAGAGGAGGGCCACAAAGAUGAUCAGAGGGCUGGGACACUUCCCCUACGAAGAGAGGCUGAGAAAGUUGGGACUCUUCAGCCUGCAGAAGAGAAGGUUUGGGAGACCUUACAGCGGCCCUUCCAGUAUCUGAAGGGGGCAUACAGGAAAGCUGGGGAGGGACUUCUUAUAAGGGCAAGUAGAGACAGGAUGGGGGGAAAUGUCUUUAAACUGGAAGAGGGUAGAUUUAGACUAGAUAUUAGGAAGAAGUUAUUUACGGUGAGGGUGGUGAGACACUGAAACAGGUUGACCAGCAAGGCUUUGGUUCCCCCCCUCCCUGGAAGCCUUUGAGGCCAGGCUGGAUGAGGCUUUGAGCAACCUGGUCUAGUGAAAGGUGUCCCUGCCUACAGCAGGGGCUUGGAGCUAGGUGAUCUUAAAGGUCUCUCCCAGUCCAAACCAUUCUAUGAUUCUUUGAUAGUCACUUCAGCAGUUGAAAAAGAAAUUUUUUGGUUUAAGUCCACCAUCUUUCCACCAGGCCUACUGCUAUCCAUGUCAGUAUUUUUUUCCCCACUUAUGAAUGAAUUUCUCCUUUUACAUGUAAAUAAGAGACUGACCUAUACAGAGUAGGUAAAUCAAGAAGCGUAUUAAGAUGUUCCACCUGUCCCAAAAUACUCCGGCAUGCUACACAUGAGCUGAUACUCACUUUCAACUUUAAAGUUGCUGAGACUGGAUAGUGUCCCCCAGAUAUUUUCUAAUAGGAUCCAACGUUUUGCAACAUGCCCAUCUAGAGACCUGAUCUAUCAGGAAAUGAGAUCUGAACACCUAUGUGGCUUUUGUUCAGCACAAGACGGAGCACAAGAGUCAGGAUAUUCUCACUGCCUAAAGCCAGAAAGGAAGCAAGUCGCCUUGUACAACUCCUGGCUGUAUUUUCCAAUUUUCAUUCUUCCCUCCCAUUCAGCUGUCCCAUCAGGUUUGCAUCAGAGCUGGCACGCAUCUGAACUCCCGCCUGGCCCAGCCUUUGUCAUUAUGCCCUUCAAUGCACAAAGUUCGGUGCGUUUUCCACUCUUCAGUAGGAGGUGCAAGGGCUGGAAAAACUGGCAGUAGAGCACAUAUGCUCCUUUUAUCCCAGCACUUUCCCUUGUGACUGCAUUUACUCUCUCACACGGACUCAGGAUGUUAACUAAACUGACAAGGACUAGAUAGCAGAGAGAGGAAGGAAGGAAGGAAAGCAUCUGCAUUUCCAAUCCAGUGACUGCAAAUAAAGUUCCUCAACUUUUAGAAGUCUCUCAAGCACAGCAUACACAGGGUUUGGAGAAGCCAGGGGCUUCUGAUGAAAGUGCUGUGCUGUUAUUUUCAGUGCCACAGCCAGGCUGGGAUUACGUUUUGGUCUUCUGAGAAAAGGAAGCUGGUUGUCACGUCUACUUCUGCUCUUUUUUAAAACUCUCAAAGAAACUUUGCAACAUAAAAUCACUGAGCACCUACAAAGAAAGCUUUACAAAGGGACACCACUUACUGCCUCAAACUCAGUUUCCAUCACCUCCUGCACAAUUCAUCCAUGCUACACAAAGUCCUAAACAGCACACAUCCUAUCUUUCCCAGUGCAAACAGAUACAUUUUUUUUUUAACUGUAAAGCCAGGCUUUUUGUUUAACACAGUGAAAAAUCACACAUAGCAGGAGCCUGCUGUUAGCAUAACUUACGGUAAUGAAUCAGUUAGCAAGGAGACUGGUGAAAAGAUUGAUUCAUGACAUGAAAAGGGUAACUGGAUCCUUUCUUUUGCCUCCUUAAUUUGCCAACAUACCUGCCCUUACCAGCACCUUUUGAAGCUGUUGCCACAGCACUACUCUUCCUUCUUGGGCUUCAGCAGUGGGUUGAACACAUCAUCUCUUUGCAGACUGCUGAAGAGCUGCAUCACAAGUGAGACUGGAGGUUGGUUGGAAGUCCCUUGAAAUCCAAGCACUUGUGCUCAGGAAGAAUUCACUCCACAUUUCUUCCUUCUUGCUGAAGGCUGGAUGUGCAAAUCCAUCUUAUUUUCACUUGACUCACACUGUGAAGACACAUACUGUGAUGUGGGGUGAUAUUAGCUGUAGAAAAGAAAAAGCUUUAAGACCACUGGGCCUCAAAAUGUGUCAAAACACACCAGGCAUGAGAAUCUGCCAUUUCUCUAUGGGAGGAGGCUGAUCUCCCCACAAAGGGCCAAGCAAGCUGUGCUCCAAGGACCUGCUCUCAUCCACUCAUCCAAACCCACACAGGGGAGCACAGCCAGGAAGAGCCACAGGACCUGCCAUCCCCUGUGCUGCCACCCAGCUCUCUUCCCUCUUGGGGGCUCAGAGCCUGAGCCAAGGUAUUGUUGCCUUUGAGGUUCAUUCUUUUAAAAAACUGACUGACGAUCAAUAUGCGAAAGCUGAGCUGUGCUUUGGGGCUCAGGGAUGGACAGCAAGAGUGCUGGAGCUGGCCUAAGGCAUGCACUGCCUGGGACAGUUGCUCCUUACCUGAGGCUGCACAUUUUGUAACUAAAGUUGGAGGAUGAGUUACCAGGGAGGACUUCAGGGAAGGUGACAGGAAGGAGGACAGCUGGUGUAGCUCCUCUAGAGUAAGCCAUGACUGAAAAGAGAACGGAGGCCCUGACCUGGAUACGGUCCUGGACAACCUGUUCUGGCUGGCCUGAGCAGGGAGUGGACCAAGUGGCCUCCAGAGGUCCCUUUACCUCCAGCAGCCCGUGACUUGGCUUGAUGUGUCCGGAGUGGCACUCCCAUGCCCACAGCCAUCCACUUGUAGCCUUGGGUAAUUUCUUUGCACCAGUGCCUCAGUACUUAAAGCAACACCGAUAACACUUCCAGAACUACACCCUAAAUAGUCUUUGGGACAGAAAUAAAAUUUUGAUUAAGUAGGAAAGCCUUUAUAGGUUAAUUAAAUAACAACUGCUAAACCAUAGCCAACCAGUCAUUAUCUGUGUUUUGAUAUGGACUUAUUACAUAACUGUUAAACUUGGUAUUUAGCAGAUAGCUUCCCUAUUUGAAGGACUAAACAUCUAUUUGAGAUACUUCAUUUUUAAAUGUCACCAUUUCGGUUUACUAGACUUCUUGCUGUGCUUAACACAAACAGUGGGUAUUUAAAGUAAUAACAAAUCAGCUGUCAGCUGGGAGCACUCAGCAGAAGGUAGGGCCUGUCCUGUGACAGCCCUUGCCCUGCUGCUGGGAGAGUCCCAGGGAGGGUCAUGACGCCUCCAGGCCACCCCUCAACUAGCUCUGGACCUUAGGGGCUGAUGGGGAGAAGUAUCAGCACGCCUUCUGAAAAGUGGCUUCUCAGCUCCAGAAGCACCAGCCUGGUUCUCCCAAAUAGUCUUUUACCGCUUCCUGGCAGCAUUCUAUGAAGGGUGACAUGGAGUAGGAUCCCCUGACCAACCGGUGCCAGGCUGUGGCAGGUGCAGGGCCACUAUCUCGCUGCUGCACCCGGAGCUCCUGUGGGCCAUGAACUCCAGCUGCCAUGGGAUGAAAUACUUGCAUGCACCGAACCAAAGACCAUCCCCAACUGCUUUUCAAGCAGGCAUUUUUCUUCAGAGUCUACAUGGAUGGAGAUAGCUUUGCCACCACUCAGUUUCUGCUGUCAUAAUUCUCCUGCUAACAGAUAAGAAACGGUGAAAUGACAUCCUGCCCAAAGAGUCUGAAUGUCUGUACCCACCUGGGGCACGGUCCUGGUACCAAGGCACUACACCCAUAGAGCCUUAUGGCCACAUUAUUUCUCCCUACAUUCAAUUUUUUUGUAAAAGUGCUGUUAUAUUUCUCGGAAGGCUCUUGCAGCUGUUAUCACAUUGGCAAGCAAUGGCUGGGGCCUUCAGCCAUCUCUGGCAACAAAGAGGUUAAGCAUCAGCGAGCCUAGAAGGCUGGCUUUUGAGGGGUGGGUUUAGGAAGCAAAGUUAACAAUAUAAGAAGAGGAAGUGCUGGCCAUCCGUUUGUUUGUUUAUUGUUUCAGCAGUUUGUGCUGUGUGUCUCGUGUGCUAUCUCCAUCCCUCAGUCUCCCAGCCAGUUCAUUAUGCACGGGAAGAGGUGCUUCCUGCCAGCGACCUCCUGGGUCCCCUCCCAUUGUUCGCAGGGCUGAUGUAAAGUGCUGGGGGCGGCAGAAAGGGCUGCAAGCCUGCAAGAAAUACUCCAGAGACCUUCUUCAGUUAAUAAAACAGAUGGCCUUAUUGGCGUAGGCAAAUUUCAACGCUAGCAUUGCAUUUAAUAGGGUUCAUCCAAAGAAAAUCCCAAGAAAAAUAAAGUGAGGAGUUUAGGUUGUCAGAGCCAGAGGGAUAAAUACAGGAGAGACAAGAGGAUGAGCCAUACCUCUGGCAUACCCAGCAGCUCUGCCGUGCCUCUGUAGCCUUCAGGGACUAAGGUUGCUCAACGCCUCCUUCUCUGCUAGGACCUAUUAGUCAGAAGCAGAGGUGCUCCCUGCCUCCAACAGCUAAGCUCUGAUGGCCUAAAUGUCACCCCAGUCUCUGUGCAUAGCAAGGUCUUUAAGUUCCCUAAAUUAGGGCACCUGGGUCCUCCUUGAAGGCCCAGCGCUCUCCCUUCACCUGGUAGAGGAGCAAACAAGCAAGAGACUCUAAGCCCCUAAGACCAUCAGAACUUUGUUUUCUGAAGCUCCAGUGCCCUAUGCACCCCCAAAGUUCCUUCCCUAUGUUUCUGUAGUGAUCAGGCUAUAACACCUUGCAGAAGGAGUGUGCUUCUCAGAUGCUGUAAGAACACUUUUUUUUUUUUUUUUUUUUUUUUUUUUGAAAGAACACUUUGUACAAUCCCUGAGCUGGGCCUGAAGCAACACUAACAAUAACAAACAGCAAUGAGCUGGAGCUGCAGAGCUGGGAUCCAGAUGUGUACCUGAACUUCCCUAAAAUUUAAGGGUCUUUAAGUCUGGCAUGGGUUAAUCUCCAUAAAAAACGUGAAGAUGAAGGGGAAGAAAAGGGAAAAAUGCAAGCAGAAUACAGUUAACAAGACACAUGGGAGGAUGUCGCCUUCUCUGUGUGCUUGGUAACUGCAGCCUCUUGAAGGUGUGUCCCCAGCUUCUGCACAGCCAGGAGCUGUCAUUAGCCAGAAAUAAAAGGAUUUCUGCUCACUCACACUGGUGAAAGUAAAGCAAUCUGUUUUGAAAAACAGCUUUAAAGCACACAUUGCCACUUUUGAUUAUAAAAAUCCUAGAGGAAUGUGGGCUUUGCUUUAAAUCAUGUACUUUUUUUUUUCACUUUCUCACUGUACGUUUACUUUUACACAGGUACUUUUCUAGCACACGCCUUUAGAAACAUCCAUGAAAACUGUGUCCCAUUUUUCCACUUUCAUUGCUUCUAAAGGUCAAAAGUCUCUCAUCUGAGGCUUUGGAGGAAAAGAAACCUCUCAGUUCCUGGGCUUUCUCUCUGGAGAGAGUCGUCAUUUCCAGGGAAGGGCCGGUGCCUCCCCUCUGGGACAGGAAGCGGCCACAGGAGCACUGUCAUCACUGAAAGUUUUCUUUCAUGCGGAAAUAUUAUUUACACAUGCCACGUCCAAAAGACAACAGUGGCAAGGAGGACUGGCAAGCAACUCUGCUUUAAAUAACCAUUUUCUAAGGCAGGGAGGAGCAUUUUUGUGGCCGUUUCCGUAACAAAGUGUUCCACUCGCUUCUGGCCUAGCUAUGCAGCAUCGUGCUCGUGCAUUCCUAACAGCAGCCUUCCCUUCCCUUCCCUGUCCGCCUUUUGUCAACAAAUAUGUAAGAAAAGAAUUUCACCAUGUCAGGAAUUUUAUGCUUUUGAAACAGAGCUCGCACACUUGACACGACCCAGCCCCCGGACGGAGCUGAGCUGCUGCCCAGAUGGGAGGUCAGGCUUCUACAUGCUCUUCUUUUUUGCUGCACAUACAGUGCAGCAAAAUGCUUCAGACUCAGCUGUGGGUGCAGAGGAAGAAAACUAGUAUCUCACACUUUGAAUACUUUCUUCUUCAUAAAAAAUAAAAUAAGAAAAAAAAAGAAUAAGAAAAAAAAAACAACACUCCUUCCUUUCCUCUUUAUCCCUUCUUAAAGCACCCAGAAGCUUAAAAGACCGAGUAUCAAGAAUCUAUGAGAAAAACAAUAUUAUCAGAGGAUCACUUUGAAAAACCCUGUUUCACGGAGCUUUGUGCCUUUUCCUGAAUAACACCUUCGGAUCUCAUGUACUGUCUUAUAAUUACAAAAAAAAUAUAUAACCAGAUAUAGCACGCGCUAUGUCAGCUUUGAUUACACCAGAAGAGAAAGACAUGGGAUACAGAGAGAGAAUAAAGGGAGAAUGAU
ensembl:lncRNA